AACGAACGCUGGCGGCAGGCCUAACACAUGCAAGUCGAGCGCUACCUUCGGGUGGAGCGGCGGACGGGUUAUUAACCCGUGGGAAUAUACCCAGUUCUAAGGAAUAGCCACUGGAAACGGUGAGUAAUACCUUAUACGCCCUUCGGGGGAAAGAUUUAUCGGAAUUGGAUUAGCCCGCGUUAGAUUAGAUAGUUGGUGGGGUAAUGGCCUACCAAGUCUACGAUCUAUAGCUGGUUUGAGAGGAUGAUCAGCAACACUGGGACUGAGACACGGCCCAGACUCCUACGGGAGGCAGCAGUGGGGAAUCUUAGACAAUGGGCGAAAGCCUGAUCUAGCCAUGCCGCGUGAGUGAUGAAGGCCCUAGGGUCCUAAAGCUCCUUCAACUGUGAAGAUAAUGACGGUAGCAGUAGAAGAAACCCCGGCUAACUCCGUGCCAGCAGCCGCGGUAAUACGGAGGGGGUUAGCGUUGUUCGGAAUUACUGGGCGUAAAGCGUACGUAGGCGGAUUAAUAAGUUAGAGGUGAAAUCCCAGGGCUCAACCCUGGAACUGCCUUUAAAACUGUUAGCCUUGAGAUCGAGAGAGGUGACUGGAAUUCCAAGUGUAGAGGUGAAAUUCGUAGAUAUUUGGAGGAACACCAGUGGCGAAGGCGGCUCACUGGCUCGAUACUGACGCUGAGGUACGAAAGUGUGGGGAGCAAACAGGAUUAGAUACCCUGGUAGUCCACACCGUAAACGAUGAAUGCCAGACGUCAGCAAGCAUGCUUGUUGGUGUCACACCUAACGGAUUAAGCAUUCCGCCUGGGGAGUACGGUCGCAAGAUUAAAACUCAAAGGAAUUGACGGGGGCCCGCACAAGCGGUGGAGCAUGUGGUUUAAUUCGACGCAACGCGCAGAACCUUACCAACCCUUGACAUACUUGUCGCGGAUUCCAGAGAUGGAUUCCUUCAGUUCGGCUGGACAAUGUACAGGUGCUGCAUGGCUGUCGUCAGCUCGUGUCGUGAGAUGUUCGGUUAAGUCCGGCAACGAGCGCAACCCACGUCCUUAGUUACCAGCAUUUAGUUGGGUACCCUAAGGAGACUGCCGGUGAUAAGCCGGAGGAAGGUGUGGACGACGUCAAGUCAUCAUGGCCCUUACGGGUUGGGCUACACACGUGCUACAAUGGCAUCUACAGUGAGUUAAUCUCCAAAAGAUGUCUCAGUUCGGAUUGGGGUCUGCAACUCGACCCCAUGAAGUUGGAAUCGCUAGUAAUCGCGGAACAGCAUGCCGCGGUGAAUACGUUCCCGGGCCUUGUACACACCGCCCGUCACACCAUGGGAAUUGGGUCUACCCGAAGGUGGUGCGCCAACUAUUUAUAGAGGCAGCCAACCACGGUAGGUUCAGUGACUGGGGUGAAGUCGUAACAAGGUAGCCGUAGGGGAACCUGCGGGUGGAUCACCUCCUUUCU
rnacentral:rRNA from 1 species